AUUGCUUAUAUAAAUGUGAACGUUCCAGUUGGUUGCCGGAGCAUGUGACUCUGCUGGCCCGUUUUGUGUCGGAGCCAUCGCCUUUGAAAUCCACUGUUACGAAAGCUGUUGCUGAAUUCCGCCGCACUCAUGCAGACACUUUGAAUGUACAUAAAGAUUCAUUUACUGAAGAGCAACUAGAGGUCCUCACUGAUACAUCUUCUUCAUCUUCAUACUUUGCUUGAUGUAUACCUUCCCAAUGCAAAUAACAAAAAUAAAAUGAGCCCAAGAACUGCGAUAAUAAAAGAUAAGAGAGCAGUAGAAUCGAAGGGGGGUGUUUUUCUCAACUGGGAAAUAUACAACCACAUGCCAAAAUACAAUCGAUCCACAACUUGGUGAAACACAACCUCGAAGGAUUCAGCCCCAGAGACGGCGUUUCUUUCACUUCACCAUUCCUCAACACUUGCGAACAGAGGCCGAGUGACCAUCUGCAUGUGAUAGAAGACGAGACAAGACUGAGUAUACAAGAUGAACAAUACAUGCAGUAGCAAAAUCCAAACCCAGUCAAGAGGUUUCCGGGAGUUGAAUUCCCAAAAGCUGCAUAGGACAUGUAGAAGAAAGUUGUGAUGCAGACUGCGAUUAUGGAUGCCUUCAGGACUGUGAGUGACCUUGCUGGUCACGAGGACGUUGCCGAAGGAGCAGUCAUGCAGAGGACUAGGACUUACAUAUAAUAUAUGUAAAAAAUGUUUGAGUGAUACAUGGAUGUGAACAAACUUAACUUUAUGAAUGUAUAUGAACAAAUUUAACACAUUGGUUUGAAAUUUGUAAGUUAACUCUCUUAAUUUUUAACAUAAUUGUUAUUUACA